GAAGAUUUGUCGGUGGUUGAAUCGGUUGCUGAGUAAUUUGUUGAACUAUCGCCGAUUCUCUUUUUGGUAUUUCCGGUGGUGAUUGAAGGACAUCCAUAUAUUCACGAAUUAGAUUCGCAAUUUGAUGUGCCUACAAGUAAAUGAUAGUAAAAAUACAAAUAACAAAUAUGUAAUUGAAAUAUUAUAAUAAUAUAAAAUUAUAAUGUAAAUUCUAAAAAAAAAAAAAACAAAGAAUCACCUGAGAUGUCGUACAAAGAGUAUUCCUGGAACGAUGUUCCAGAAGAUGAAGACCUUGUUGAUCAACGGCCAACCACAAAACACGUGGCCAGUUUGAAGUGGUGUCAUUCCUCGUAAUGAUUGAUGAUGUUGAAGUACACCUUCUAUACACAAAGUUGGAACCAGUCUUGGAGGCAGGCAGUGACUUGAUAUAGUACGAUAAUCGUAAUCAGACACAGCAUUUUCACAAUCAC